CCUACGGGAGGCAGCAGUGCGGAAUAUUGGUCAAUGGGCGAGAGCCUGAACCAGCCAAGUCGCGUGAGGGAGUACUGCCCUAUGGGUUGUAAACCUCUUUUGUCGGGGAGCAAAAGCCGGACGUGUCCGGCUGUGAGAGUACCCGAAGAAAAAGCAUCGGCUAACUCCGUGCCAGCAGCCGCGGUAAUACGGAGGAUGCGAGCGUUAUCCGGAUUUAUUGGGUUUAAAGGGUGCGCAGGCGGAUUUUUAAGUUAGCGGUAAAAUCGCGGGGCUCAACCCCAUCCAGCCGUUGAAACUGGGGAUCUAGAGUGUGCGAGAGGUAUGCGGAAUGCGUGGUGUAGCGGUGAAAUGCAUAGAUAUCACGAAGAACCCCGAUUGCGAAGGCAGCAUACCGGUGCACAACUGACGCUCAGGCACGAAAGCGUGGGUAUCGAACAGGAUUAGAUACCCGUGUAGUC
rnacentral:rRNA from 1 species